rnacentral:rRNA from 1 species
GACGAACGCUGGCGGCGUGCCUAAUACAUGCAAGUCGAGCGAAAGGACGCGAAGCUUGCGUCUCUGAUGUUAGCGGCGGACGUGUGUGUAACGCGUGUAUCACCUACCUAUAAGACUGGGAUAACUUCGGGACACCGGAGCUAAUACCGUAUAAUAUUUUGCACCGCGUGGGUCAAAAGUGAAAGACGGUCUUGCGGUCUCUAAUCGCUGCAUCCCGGCUGCAUUAGCUGGUUGGUAAGGUAACGGCUUACCACGGGAACGAUGCAUAGCCGACCUGCGGGGCGGAUCGGCCACCCUGGAGGUUAGCCAGGGUCAAUACGCCUGAGGGAGGCAGCAGUCGCGAAUGUUCGGCAAUGGGCGAAAGCCUGACGGAGCAAGGCCGCGUGAGUGAUGAAGGUCUUCGGAGCGUAAAACUCUGUUAUUAGGUAAGAACAGAUGUGGAAUUAACCGUGCCCAUCUUGACGGUACCUAAUCAGAAAGCCACGGCUAACUACGUG